rnacentral:rRNA from 1 species
UACGGAGGGUGCGAGCGUUGUCCGGAAUCACUGGGCGUAAAGGGCGCGUAGGCGGCGCGGGAAGUCAUCGGUGAAAGCUCAGGGCUCAACUCUGAGUCGGCCGGUGAUACUCUCGUGCUUGAGCACUGUAGAGGCAGGUGGAAUUCCGGGUGUAGCGGUGGAAUGCGCAGAUAUCAGGAAGAACACCUAUGGCGAAGGCAGCUCUCUGGGACGGUACUGACGCUGAGACGCGAAAGCGUGGGGAGCGAACAGG